ACUCUCUCUAGAGGCUACUAUAAAAGCGCAGAAUCCGAUGCAGGAUAUUCAUACAGUGACUGAACUUCAAAAGCGACGCAACAAUAAUAAUCAACAAACAUGGGUAAACUUUUGGCUUAUACCAUCUUCGUUAUUUACGCUUUGAUCAUGGUGAUGGAUUUUGCUGCAGCAUGCCAAGGUCAUGAUUCAGCGUGUGUUGGAGCAAAUGGAUCGCAAGGAAACUGCUGUGGUGGCAUGCAUUGUCAGAAAAAUGAUCCAAGCUGGAGGGAGGGAAGGUGUUAUUACAACCCUGGAAAAUAGGGGUAAUAUUUGGAUCCCACUCCCACGGCGAUAGCAUGAAUGCGACACCUAGUGGUCGGGCUUGUAUGGAGUGGAGAUAAAAAUCUACAAGUUUUUCCGAAAUUCUAUAAAAGUAUAAUAAAUAAAAUAAAGUAAUAAAAUCGUUUGUAUUCCAAAAA